CACCAUACAUGAAAACAAGACAAAACUAGGAGAACAGGGCAAGACUAGAAAUAGGCACCAUACAUGAAAACAAGACAAAACUAGGAGAACCCAGAACCAGAGCAGGACAGAAAGCAGAACCUAGAACAUGUACACAAGACAUGAGGAAAACAAGAGCAUAACAUGGGCAUGACUGGACAGGACUGUACAUGGACUGGGAUUACAAGACAAAGUAAAACAAGACAAGAGAUACAAGGUAAAACAAGAGGAAACAUAGCUAAGCACUAAUUAUGAAAAGUAUG